CGUAGCCGUCGUCGUCCGGCAGCCGCUGGCGGGGGGAGGGGCGGCCUGUGAAGUGGGCGGCCGGCGGCGUCGGUACCCUCCCCGCCGCAGGAGCGCCGCGUUCUGCCCCGGGUCCCGCCUGUCCCCCUCGCCCGGCGGCCCGGGAGGGCAGCCCUGCUCCGCCGCCGGGGGGUUUAAGAAGGCUAAAGCUUCACUAGAACUUUAACUAGAAUGGACAGUUACUUUAAAGCUGCAGUCUGUGACUUGGACAAACUACUUGAUGAAUUUGAACAGAAUACAGAUGAAUAUGACUGCUACAAAACAUCUCAAAAUCCGUACGACUCAAAACACCAUUCACUUUCUUCGGUUCUGGACUGCUUACAACAUGUAUACCCAACACCAAAACUGGAAGAGGAUGCUAACAAUUGUGCUUCAUCAGAAGAAAUCUCUCUGGCUAGCCACAUUGGAACAAGUGAAGUGCUUCUGAGUUAUUCACCUCAAAAUGAGAAGAGUGUUGCUGGGCCUGAUCUUUUGUCCACUGUGGACAGUGGUUCCUUAAACGAAAUUCAGGCUUCAAACCUGGGAAGGUGUAGUAUACCUGUGUGUGAUCUUGUUAAUGACACAGGUAACUCAAUCCAUUCAGUGGCUGCUCAUGAAGAUACUAAAAAGUUGCAGCCAGAUGACUUCCAGUACAGUCAGGGUUUGAUUGGCUUUGGCAUAUCUUGCAUACCUGUUCCUACUUGCGUGUCAUCAGCUGGUUGCAGCGGUGUUUCAGGUACAGAGCAGAGUGAUGGGGUCUCAAUGCUACAAGAUUCAGGACGUCUUAAAACAGAGGAGAUUAAUCAUUUAGCUUUAAAAUCACACAGUUAUGCUACAGCAAAGAUCUCGGAUCCAUGUGAUGAUGAACACAGGACAGAAUCUGUGAAGUGCAGUGAAGUAUUUGAUCAGCUUGAACAAACUGCUCGCCUUAAUACUGUAUGUGUCCCUGUAACACCACAGAAUUUGAAUGCGUACAGUCCCAAAGAUGAGAAAGCAUAUGAAAAAUUGCCUUGUGAACCACGAGAUGAAAGUGCAUGUUCUACAGUAAGCAAAGACACACGUGAAAGAAAUGCCAUAGAAAAGGUAGACUCAAAAGAUGAGAGUAAUGUUGAAUCCAUGCCUUCAGAUCUGUCAAAGAGGCCUCCGUUGCACAAAAACCAUGCAACAUUACCUGGAAAUUGUGUUUUACCAUGUCAAGCAGGAGCUAAAGUAGAAUUGGAAAAGAAAAUCACAGAGGAGAAUGUAGGUAGUGAAGAGCUUAAUAGCAAUGAAAUACUAAACAGUGUUUCAACUUCGUGUAUUUCAGUUGAGGAUGUCCAGGCCUCGCUGUCAUGUCUUCCACUUCCUGUAUCUACAUGUGGUUCAUUAGUUGUAACGGAAGAAAAAGUUAAUCCUCUACAUCAAAACGAAAUGGCGGAGGUUCUUAGUGAUAUUUUGACUGUUCAUACUGGAAAGUCUAGAACUGAUCUCUCCAGUAGGGAAUCCUGUGAAAACACUGACUUGCAUGAACAGGAAGAAUAUAUAGCUAAAAUCAAAGAAAGUAUUGUGGAAGAAAGUGCAGAUGGAGAGAAGUAUGACACUGAGAAUGUAAUUGAUGACAGUGAUUCUCAGCAAAUCAAAGCUUUUGCUUCUGCUUUUCUGGAAUACAAAGCUGAGCUGUAUGGUGUUGGUGUAGACUAUUACAACAAUGAAAGUAUGAGCCUAGCUAUGACUGACUUUACUGUUGACGAGAAUGUUAUUAAAAGUGAUAGUCUAAUAAGUGAUGCUGAACUUGAUGAUUUCUUGUAUGGACAAAGUCUUCAGGCCAAUGUGUUGAAGUCUUCAGACAAUGAUACUAACUUAAUGGAAGUUGAUGCAGAUGAAGGGAAUUUAACAAAUGUGAACAACCUGGAUUUCACAGAGGUCACUGAAGAACAUAGGCAAGCAAAACUGGAGGAGAUACCGAGCAUUAAUAGUAAUCUUAAAGUAUCUCUUAUGGCCAAUGAAUCGGAAUCUGCAGUAGAAGAGGGUAUGUCUUGUAUCCAGGACAUGAGUGAGAGUGGUAGUGAAGCACUAGUUUCUAACAUUUGUACUGGAGGUGCAAGACCAAAGCAGUUGCUUGGCCUUUCCCAAGGAGCUGUUGGUCAGAGACAACUGAAUAGAACAGAUGUACUUGAGAGAGAAAACCAGGAAGCCAGUUCUGUUACCCCAGAAGCUCCCCUCUCAGGCACCAGUGUAAAUGUUGGUAAAAAUUCUGACCCUGUGCACUCUGGGGAAAGCAGCUCUGAAGCUGGAGGAAAUCAAACAUCUGAAAAUGUAGAAUCACUUAAAUUACCUGCAGCUCUCUCACGGAAACAGCCAUUGUGGGUUCCCGAUUCAGAGGCACCCAACUGCAUGAACUGCCAAGUCAAGUUCACAUUUACAAAAAGACGACACCACUGUCGUGCAUGUGGAAAGGUUUUUUGUGGUGGCUGUUGCAAACGCAAGUGCAAACUACAGUACAUGGAGAAGGAAGCAAGAGUCUGUACUGGCUGUUAUGAUCAUAUUAAUAAAGCACAGGCAUUUGAAAGGAUGAUGAGUCCAACUGGUACUGUCCCCAAGUCCAGUAUCUCCUCUGAGUGUUCUUCUGCUGUUCCACCUUUGGAGGAAGCCCAGAUGUCUGGUAGUGCUCGCUCUCCUUCACCUUCUGCAUUGUUACCUAUCUCAGUACUUAAACAACCUGGUGUUGAAGGGCUGUGCCCCAAAGAACAGAGGAGAGUUUGGUUUGCAGAUGGUAUUUUGCCAAAUGGUGAAGUGGCAGAUACAAUAAAACUUUCUUCUGGAGCAAAGAGGUUGUCACAGGACUUCAGUCCAGUAAACCCUGACUUGCCAGAGAUGCAUAUGGCUGCCAAUGCAGUGGAAGGUGACAUACUAACUGAUGUAAAUCCAAAACCGAAGGAAGAAACUGAUACUGUUACAAGAAUGGAGAAACCAUGUCCUUCUGUUUCUUCAGAUGAUGCACAGCAGUCUGUUCCAGGCCAGAGUGAGGUGGUACAUAGGUAUAAAUCUGUAACUCUGGAAACUAAAGCAUGCUCUCCUACUGCAGAAGCUGAGAAGACUAGUUCCAGUUCAGUUGAUCAGACUACAAGUGGUGUCCCUGUUAGCCCUUCAAGUUGCAGAGCACUGUGUGGUGUUGAAAACUGUGUUCGUAAAGAGAUCAGCCUUGUUCCUGAUGAUGAUAAACUGCCACCACUUUUGCUUGCAGUGGGUGAAAAAGGAAAAGAUCGUCUAGUGGAAGAACGUCCAUCUCACCAACAGGUCACCUUGCUUCUUGUGGAAGGAAGUCCUAAUCCGUUAACUUUUAUCCUAAAUGCAAACUUGCUUGUAAAUGUCAAGCUAAUAACUUAUUCUUCAGAAAAGUGCUGGUACUUCUCAACAAAUGGACUACAUGGUUUGGGUCAGGCAGAAAUUAUCAUUCUGUUGCAGUGUUUGCCAGAUGAAGAGAUUUUUCCUAGUGAAGUAUUCAGAUUAUUUAUCAACAUCUAUAAGGAUGCAAUGAAAGGAAAAUUAAUAAGAAACAUGGAAAACAUCACUUUUACUGAAAACUUUCUCAGUAACAAAGAGCAUGGAGGAUUCCUGUUUGUUUCACCAAGUUUUCAGAAACUUGAAGAUCAAAUUCUACCAGAAAACCCUUUUCUUUGUGGCAUUCUCAUCCAUAAGCUGGAAAUACCCUGGGCAAAAGUUUUUCCAAUCCGUUUAAUGUUGAGAAUGGGAGCAGAAUAUGGGGCAUAUCCAACUUCUGUAGUAAGUUUCAGGGACCGGAAGCCACUCUUUGGAGAGAUUGGACAAACAAUUAUGAAUCUACUUGUUGACCUUAGAAAUUAUCAGUAUACUGUGCAUACCAUAGAAGAUCUGUUUGUUCAUGUGGAAGUGGGUAGAAGCUGUAUUAAAAUACCCCUAAGGAAGUAUAAUGAGGUAAUGAAGGUGAUAAACUCUUCUAAUGAACAUGUAAUUAGUAUAGGAGCAAGUUUUAAUACUGAAGCAGAUUCUCACUUAGUGUGUGUGCAGAAUAAGCAUGGCCUCUAUCACACACAAGCAAUCAGUGCUACUGGACAUCCUAGGAGAGUUACAGGUGCAAGUUUUGUGGUGUUUAAUGGAGCUUUAAAAACAUCUUCAGGAUUUUUAGCUAAAUCCAGUAUAGUUGAAGAUGGACUAAUGGUACAAAUAACACCAGAAAUGAUGGAAAGCCUACGUCAGGCGUUAAGAGACAAGAAGGACUUUAAAAUAACUUGUGGAAAAACGGAUACAGGAGACAUAAAAGAAUAUGUAGAUAUUUGCUGGGUAGAAAAUGAAGAAAAAACAAACAAAGGCAUUUUAAGCCCAGUCGAUGGAAAAUCAUUGGAAGGAACUCAGCAUGAAAAAGUACCACAAGACAGAGACUUUGAAAGAGAGGGAAAAGUUAUGAAGUGUACCGAAGUGUACUAUUUUCUGAAGGACCAUGAACUAUCCAGUCCUGUUCCUCACCAGUUUGCUAAAGAGAUUGCUGUUGCCUGCAGUACUGCUCUUUGCCCACACCUUAAAACCUUGAAAAAUAAUGGGAUGAAUAAGAUAGGCCUAAGAGUUUCUAUUGACUCAGAUACGGUAAUCUUUCAACUCUUAUUGCAGACAUUCCAUUUCAACUGAAAUCUCUUUCUUGGAAAGAUGUUGCAUCUCUUUCUGAAUGUUUUUAGUUUUUUGCCCUACCCCAGAUCCAGACUGAGGAUGAAAUUUCAUGAAGAAGCUGUCUUAAUGACUAGUUUUUCUUCAAAGUAAUAGUCCUCUUUCCUUAUUCUGCCCAAACUCCCCAAUAGCUGCCUGCAGUAAGCUACCAGUCCUUCCCUAGUUCUAACUCUCUGGCACUCAUCUGCCUCUAAGGUUGAGUACUUGGCUGGAUCUGGAGGUUACCUUCUUCCACAGAUCUAUCUGAAUGAAUUGGACAGUGCUCUGAUUCCUGUGAUUCAUGGUGGGAUGUCAGAUCCUAUGAAUCUACCAGUGAAAAUUGAAUUAAUAUUUUUCAUCAGAGAACAUCUGUUUUGAUGAGGCUGAUUACAGGCAAUACACUGAUUUGCUAGAUCUGAACACCAAAGUUAUAAUGCUACAAACACUAAAAAUGUUGAAGUUUCUAAACCUGUUAUGUUUUAAUAGAUUUUCAAACUUUUCUAAAACCCUCAAAUCCUCUCUGGUUACUUUGCCACAAAAGAACUGUAGUUUGUAAUGUUUCCUAAAGUUCUGAAAGUUUACACUUAAUACAGGUGCAGAAGAGGGCAGGUUUUGUUACCUCUUUACACAGUUGUAGCAUUUACUAUAUGUAGUGUAACUUUAAGCCAUACUAUCUUGCCUCUUAACCUCAGACAAGUGUUACUAAAAAUCGCUGUGGUGAGAUCUCAUCUCUGCAGUGUGUGCUUUCCAUCUAUAAAUGAGCUAAACACUGAAGCAGAAGCUGGCACAAAACUUUCCUUGCUGUUUAAGAUUCAAAUAUGAGCUCUUCUAUAGCUGUCUGCAAACUUCCGGCAUCAGUACAAAAUACAAGUGCACACCUUCUGACACUUGUUUAUGGUCAGCACAAGGAAGAAUUUUGCAGGUAUGUUUAUGAAGACACUGUAGUUGAAAUCCUU